rnacentral:tRNA from 2 species
GGUGAUUAUAGUUCAAUCGGUAGAACAGCUAGUUGUGGUCUAGUAUGUUCCCUGUUCGACUCAGGGUAUUCACC